rnacentral:hammerhead_ribozyme from 1 species
AUCCGGCUGAUGAGUCCCAAACAGAACGUAACAUACUUCCUAGAU